rnacentral:rRNA from 1 species
UAACGGCUCACCAAGGCUACGAUGGGUAGCUGGUCUGAGAGGACGAUCAGCCACACUGGGAUUGAGAACGGCCCAUACUCCUACGGGGGGCAGCAGUGAGGAAUUUUCCGCAAUGGACGAAAGUCUGACGGAGCAACGCCGCGUGCAGGAGGACGCUUUUCGGAGUGUAAACUGCUUUUCCCAGGGAAGAGAGCGGACGGUACCUGAAGAAGAAGCCGCUGCUAACUACCUGCCAGCAGCCGCGGUAAUACGUAGGGGGCGAGCGUUGUCCGGAGUUGCUGGUCGUAAAGGGCAUGCAGGCGGUCGUACGCGUGUUUGUGUGACAGCGGGUGGCUUAACUACCCGAGUAUGCGAAAGACGGUACUACUUGGGGGGCUCGAGAGGGACACAGUAAUUCCUGGUGGAGUGAUGAAAUG